UACGUAGGGUCCGAGCGUUGUCCGGAAUUACUGGGCGUAAAGGGUGCGUAGGCGGAAAUGUAAGUUAGAUGUGAAAUCCCUGAGCUUAACUUAGGCAUAGCAUUUAAGACUGCAUAUCUAGAGUUUGUAAGAGGGGGGUAGAAUUCCAAGUGUAGCAGUGAAAUGCGUAGAGAUUUGGAGGAAUACCGAUGGCGAAGGCAGCCCCCUGGUAUAGAACUGACGCUGAGGCACGAAAGCGUGGGUAGCAAACAGG
rnacentral:rRNA from 1 species